UAGCUUAAGUUAGAAAGCCACAAAAACCCAGGAAGGAAGUAAAUGACCAUGUCCCUGAGUUCGGGACUUGGCAUUUAUCAUUACGUUUCGAGUUUAAUAUUUUCUGUGUUACUCUUCUUGGACAGAGGAAUUAUUGCAAUUAAUUUUCCUACCUCAUACACACAUGAACAACUUGACGAUAAUGACACUGGAAUGUUAUUACGCGACAACUCUUUGAAACCACCACCCGCACCACAGGAAAGAAUACACCCUGGAGUUAUUGCAUCCGUGGUCGUCGUGUCAUUAAUCGCGAUUGUGGCUGCAGUUUUCAUAAUCAGGAAAUACUGUUUUCACCACAGCGAGGCUACGUACAGAUACUCGGUUCUGAGAGGAAUGGAGGAAGAUGGAACUGCUGAAGAUCUCGAUAGCGACGCUGACCUUGGACCGAGCAUAGAGGACUCAGACGAGGAUAUUUUGGAAUGAAUUGGAACAUUGUUCUUCUCCAGGAAAGUUGUGUAGUUGUUCUAACUGUUCUAACUCUUAUUUUUGGGAGCUAAAAUAGGUGGUUCUCUUAUUGAUUUGUUUUCUGUUAUCAGUGUGUUUUGUAUCUAUUGGUAAUUUGGCUGCUGUAGGAUUGUUUGGUUUCUUCUUCAGAGCUGUUUUUAAAUAUAUUUUUCUGAAAGCUUAGCGUUGUUCCAAUUUCAGUCCUGUAUCAAAUGCUUUCUGUUGUAAGCACCAAAUUAAAAGCAGUUUUAUUGCAGUUCCAUAAAAAGUAUUUAUAAAGCACAUAAACUGCCCAGCCAGUAUUUAUGCACAAUGAAAGAUAUUUUAGAUACCUACAAAAGUCUCUGACCACCAUCCGGCUUCAAAAUGGCUGGUGUAGGGGCAUUCAGGAGAUUGUGGUGUAAAGCAAGAAAAUACACUUCCGGUACCUUCAAAUCAGCUUGUACAGCAACAUUAUGCUUCAACUGAUUAAUAUAUUCACAUUUAUUCACAAUUAUAAACAUCAGUUUUUAUAGCGUCUACUUCUUUUCAGUUCUCAAGCAGUGCCGACUGUUCACUGCCAGGGACUUAUGUAAUAAGGCUGAUACUGAACACCUUUUUCAUCACAACUUCCUUGAGCUCAGGUUGCAAGCACCAUAUGAAUUACUUCCAACUGAAUAUAAGAUUUAACAUCAUUUUUGUAAAAAUAAUCAGUAAUUAAAAUACGCACGUUGAACCACUAGUGUUUGAUUUUGUUUAACCUUUAUUUAUACAGGGUAAGCUGAGUGAGCAUGCAUGCUUUUACAGCAACACCCUGUUAACCCCCCCCCCCCCCAAUUACCUUGACCUGCAUGAAUUUGUAAUUUGGAAUGUGGGAGGAUACUGGAAUACCCAGAGGAAACUCACACAGACAUUGGGAGGAAAUACUUUGCUCCUACUUAAUUUAGUAGUAAUUUAAAGUGAGUUUCCUUGCUUUGGACAACAAACCACAUAUGUCCCUAUACUUGCCAUUUAAAAUCCAGAACGUCCUCAGAAACUUAUGUAAAUAUCUUAUGCACAUAAUCCUUCUUUGUGCACAAAACCUUCAGAGUCAGGUAAAAACUUACUGGAAAAAAUAGCAAAUAAUACCAAAAAGCCCCAGAAAGUAAACUGUCAGUUCUUAUUCUAAUACAUAUUUAUGUUGUUUGUGUGUAUAUUUAUGUGGAGUUGUGUUACCCUUGUCAUUCUCCCAUUUAAAUGGUUAACUUACUGUGUUACUAAUUUGGUUUUCUGUUACUGGAAACCUGUCUGAAAAGAGUUUCAGUAGGGUGAGAUUAGCACAAAAUAGCUGUGAACUUUUUUCAUUCAAAGGAAGAAGUCCAAAUUCCGAAAUCUGAUACACCAAAAUAAUUUCUUGUUCAUUUUUUUCUUCCUGGUUUCCUGUUUCAUUGGUCUUGUGAUUAGUGCUCACCUUGUUUCCAGGAAGCCUUGGGAUUCCAUGAACAGUGUUGUCACAUCAAAGAAAACCAAAAAAAUGGUUCCCUCUGCCUCUGUACAGUGUGGUUGAAGGUUCAAAUCCCGGUGGUGUUAUCGUCAGCUGCUUCAAAUCUUCAUUUCAUAUUGAUUUUUUUUCCAGGAUGGGCACAAUACAUACAGGAAAAAUCCAUGUGACAACGAUGGUGCUUUAACUUGAAUUAAAAAAACUGAACUUAUUUUUAUUUUUUUAAAUUGCAUUAGUGUUUUUGUGCCUGAUGUCCCUUUGUGUUUCCAUUGUGUGUUUCACAAUAGGCAAAAUUAGUCUUUAUAUUUUGGAAUUAAAUAUGGCAUGUGGAAAUGGUC